rnacentral:rRNA from 1 species
GAUGCACGCUGGCGGCGUGCCUAAUACAUGCAAGUCGAGCGAACGGACGAGGAGCUUGCUCCUCUGACGUUAGCGGCGGACGGGUGAGUAACACGUGGAUAACCUACCUAUAAGACUGGGAUAACUUCGGGAAACCGGAGCUAAUACCGGAUAAUAUAUUGAACCGCAUGGUUCAAUAGUGAAAGACGGUUUUGCUGUCACUUAUAGAUGGAUCCGCGCCGCAUUAGCUAGUUGGUAAGGUAACGGCUUACCAAGGCAACGAUGCGUAGCCGACCUGAGAGGGUGAUCGGCCACACUGGAACUGAGACACGGUCCAGACUCCUACGGGAGGCAGCAGUAGGGAAUCUUCCGCAAUGGGCGAAAGCCUGACGGAGCAACGCCGCGUGAGUGAUGAAGGUCUUCGGAUCGUAAAACUCUGUUAUUAGGGAAGAACAAAUGUGUAAGUAACUAUGCACGUCUUGACGGUACCUAAUCAGAAAGCCACGGCUAACUACGUG